rnacentral:rRNA from 1 species
UACGAACGCUGGCGGCGUGCUUAACACAUGCAAGUCGAACGGAAAGGCCCUGCUUGCAGGGUACUCGAGUGGCGAACGGGUGAGUAACACGUGGGUGAUCUGCCCUGCACUUCGGGAUAAGCCUGGGAAACUGGGUCUAAUACCGGAUAGGAGCCAUUUUUAGUGUGAUGGUUGGAAAGUUUUUUCGGUGUAGGAUGAGCUCGCGGCCUAUCAGCUUGUUGGUGGGGUAAUGGCCUACCAAGGCGGCGACGGGUAGCCGGCCUGAGAGGGUGGACGGCCACAUUGGGACUGAGAUACGGCCCAGACGCCUACGGGAGGCAGCAGUGGGGAAUAUUGCACAAUGGGCGCAAGCCUGAUGCAGCGACGCCGCGUGGGGGAGGACGGCCUUCGGGUUGUAAACUCCUUUCGCUAGGGACGAAGCUUUUUGUGACGGUACCUAGAUAAGAAGCACCGGCUAACUACGUG